AUUGAACGCUGGCGGCAGGCCUAACACAUGCAAGUCGAACGAGUGGCGGACGGGUGAGUAAUGUCUGGGAAACUGCCUGAUGGAGGGGGAUAACUACUGGAAACGGUAGCUAAUACCGCAUACUAGUAGAUGGACCUGCGAUGUAUUAGCUAUUAGGUGGGGUAAAGGGUCACCUAGGCGACGGUCCCUAGCUGGUCUGAGAGGAGUACCAGCCACGCUGGGACUGUGACACGGUCCAGACUCCUACGGGAUGAAGCAGUGGGGAAUUUUCCACAAUGGGCGCAAGCCUGAUGCAGCCAUGCCGCGUGUAUGAAGAAGGCCUUCUGGUUGUAAAGUACUUUCAGCGGGGAGGCGUUACCCGCAGAAGAAGCACCGGCUAACUCCGUGCCAGCAGCCGCGGUAAUAC
rnacentral:rRNA from 1 species